UUGCGGCCAUAUCACUUUGAAACAUUGGUUCUCCUACGAUUACCGAAGUUAAGCAAUGCCGAACGUGGUCAGUACAUAGAUGAGUAACCCCUUGGAAAUACCAGGUGA